GUGCGUGUUUACGUCAGUUCGAGGAGCGGGAAUCACGAUCAGGAGUCAGUGGUCUUGGCUUCUCUGCUCUGGUGGUGAAGGCCUGGGGAACCGCCUACGUGGAGCUGUCCUCCUUCAAUUCACACUCAUCUCCCCUGCCUCCCGGGUGUGAAAUUAUAAGCUCCGAGGACUCCCUCAUUCACAUUUGACAAGACUACAGGUUAUUAGCCAAACAAGCAGCUUGUCAGCCAUUGACAGGUCCAGGUUUUUAUUGCAUGGAAAAGAGCAGCAUGAACAUCCUUCAAAAUGCUUUGGACCAAC